UACGUAGGGUGCAAGCGUUGUCCGGAAUUACUGGGCGUAAAGCGUGCGUAGACGGUAGCGUAAGUCAGAUGUGAAAGCCCCGGGCUCAACCUGGGAAUUGCAUUUGAGACUGCUCUGCUCGGGUGCGGAAGAGGGAAGCGGAAUUUCCGGUGUAGCGGUGAAAUGCGUAGAUAUCGGAAGGAACACCAGUGGCGAAAGCGGCUUCCUGGUCCGACACAGACGUUCAGGCACGAAAGCGUGGGGAGCAAACAGG
rnacentral:rRNA from 1 species